rnacentral:rRNA from 1 species
AGAGUUUGAUCCUGGCUCAGGACGAACGCUGGCGGCGUGCUUAACACAUGCAAGUGGAGCGACGAACCAGGACUUGCCCUGGGGCAGAGCCGCGAACGGGUGAGUAACACGUGGGUAACCCACCCCGAUGACCGGGACAACCCGAGGAAACUCGGGCUAAUACCGGAUGUUCUCGUUUCUCUCAAGAGAAUCGAGCAAAGAUAGCUUCGGCCUUCGCAUCGGGACGGGCCCGCGGCCCAUUAGCUUGUUGGUGAGGUAACGGCUUACCAAGGCUUCGAUGGGUAGCUGGUCUGAGAGGACGAUCAGCCACACUGGGACUGAGACACGGCCCAGACUCCUACGGGAGGCAGCAGUGGGGAAUCUUGCGCAAUGCGCGAAAGCGUGACGCAGCAACGCCGCGUGGGGGAAGAAGGCCUUCGGGUUGUAAAC